UGCUGAUGACUAUCAUAGGGAA
rnacentral:misc_RNA from 1 species